GCUGAACAUUGGUGGAUUGGUGUAGGAGGAAGAGGAGACUCAAAAAUUGAACCUCAAUCCACAUCCCAAAGACAGUGACGGGCUCCGGGAAUGUUGAGUCUGAGUUUUCUGUUGCUGGAGACUUUGAAGGGAGAGCCAAAAUGACUAUUAUCUAGAAUUAUCAGCUGUAUGAGCAAAAGUACUUGUCCAGCACUUCUUGGUGAUUUUCACUUCCUUUUCUGACAUUCUGUUCUCCACACACACAUGCAUUAUGUGGUGUGUAUCCAAGUCCUCUGCAAGGAUCACCUCCACCUCUGUGGAUGUAAAAGCACAACUGUCUUCUGCUCCAAAUGAUCCUGGUUUCAUGUAUAACUUUUGUUAAGGUGAUGAUACUAGAACCAACUGUACAUAGGCAGAGAGUUUACAAGACUCCAAGACUGAUCUUGAAGAUGAGGAAAGGUCCUUUCUCCUUAUAUUUAAUUUACUCUGAAUUUCUUGUUUUAAAUGAGGUUGCAAGAUUUCAUAAUGUUCAAAGCAUGGCAUCUGGUCUGCACUUGUCUGAAAUUUUGCUGAAUUUUCUUCAGUUCAAGCCAAGAAGAUAGGUCCCAGAGCAGUUACCACAAUUGACAAUAAGCUGGAUUUGCUGGGUCAUGAAGGAGAAAACCAAGAAGCAAGGAACCCAAGCAUCCAUGUCUGUGGAGAGAAUUAUGAAUUGAACUUACCAGGACUUUGAUGAUGGUGUACCCAACUCUUUCUAAAAUCGUGGUUUCCAUGGGAAAAGCCAAACUAUGACUGUCCCUGACAUGCUGGAGGGGCAGAGGCGCUUCUCUACUCUACAAGACAGCAUGGUGAUGAGCACAGGAUAACUGACCCAUGCAAGCAACAGAGAGGCUUAAUCGUAUUUAAACACCAAGAAACUGAGGGUGAAAUGACCACAUGAGAGGAGCAGGGUCUUCCCCUGCCUGGUGGGCCUCUGCAAACCAUCUUUGUCUUUCCAUGAUCACACAGGUCUCACCACCACAACCACCCUCCAGUCGUCCCAACGUGAUGGACUGGGAGGGUGUCAGUGCUUCCUAAGAGCUAUGGGACCCCAUCAACUCAUAGUGCUCCCAUGUACAGCAGCCUCUGCCCUGCCCUGAGUGGGACCAUUUUGCCCACCGUGCUUAUAAACCCUUCCAGUGCUUCUCCUUUACUGCUACUUUAACAAAACUGAGCUCAACUUAAGAAAAUAUACUGUAUUUCUUUAAUUGUAAA